rnacentral:rRNA from 1 species
UGGGGAAUUUUGGACAAUGGGCGAAAGCCUAAUCCAGCAAUGCCGCGUGUGUGAAGAAGGCCUUCGGGUUGUAAAGCACUCUUGUCCGGAAAGAAAUCCUUGGCUCUAAUACAGUCGGGGGAUGACGGUACCGGAAGAAUAAGCACCGGCUAACUACGUGCCAGCAGCCGCGGUAAUACGUAGGUGCAAGCGUUAAUCGGAAUUACUGGGCGUAAAGCGUGCGCAGGCGGUUUGCUAAGACCGNUGUGAAAUCCCCGGGCUCAACCUGGGAACUGCAUUGGUGACUGGCAGGCUAGAGUAUGGCAGAGGGGGGUAGAAUUCCACGUGUAGCAGUGAAAUGCGUAGAGAUGUGGAGGAAUACCGAUGGCGAAGGCAGCCCCCUGGGCCAAUACUGACGCUCAUGCACGAAAGCGUGGGGAGCAAAACAGGAUUAGAUACCCUGGUAGUCCACGCCCUAAACGAUGUCAACUAGUUGUUGGGGAUUCAUUUCCUUAGUAACGUAGCUAACGCGUGAAGUUGACCGCCUGGGGAGUACGGUCGCAAGAUUAAAACUCAAAUG